rnacentral:lncRNA from 1 species
AGGCUCUAUUUGAACCAGAUGAACCAUGACUAAGAGAGCCCAAGUUCUCUAAGACUUUUUCUCCAAAAAUCAUAUCAAAAAGAGAAGUGAAGUAUUAUUUUUCUCAUCCUUCUUUCUUUACGCGUGUGAAAGUAGAAGGGGCGCCAAUAGUUGGCGCUUCGCCUUAUCUGGAAGUCUUUUUCAUCCAAAUUAUUUUUAUUUAAAUUUGAUUCAAAAUAGAAUAGAAAUAUCUCAAAUUAGAGCAUGAAAGUAUUUUUUUGUGUGACA